GUGCUGUAUGAAAGGAGAGAAGGUUCCCAUUCAUUCCCCUUGAUGAGGAUGGAAGAGGCCCUUGGGCCCGACCAAGUACAUAUAGUUAAGGCACUGCCACCUAUUUUGUGGCUUCUAACCACUGUGUUUU